CACGUAGGGUGCGAGCGUUGUCCGGAAUUAUUGGGCGUAAAGAGCUCGUAGGCGGUGUGUCGCGUCGGCCGUGAAAACCUGCAGCUUAACUGUGGGCUUGCGGUCGAUACGGGCAUCACUGGAGUUCGGCAGGGGAGACUGGAAUUCCUGGUGUAGCGGUGAAAUGCGCAGAUAUCAGGAGGAACACCGGUGGCGAAGGCGGGUCUCUGGGCCGAUACUGACGCUGAGGAGCGAAAGUGUGGGGAGCGAACAGG
rnacentral:rRNA from 1 species